UAUUUCAANUCUGGGAUAUCGAAUAGGACGNCGCGGUUCUAUUUUGUUGGUCUCUAGGACCGCCGUAGUGAUUGAUAGGGACAGUAGGGGGCAUCAGUAUUCGAUCGUCAGAGGUGAAAUUCUUGGAUCGAUUGAAGACUAACUACUGCGAAUGCAUUUGCCACGGAUGUUUUCAUUAAUCAGGAACGAAAGUUAGGGGAUCGAAAACGAUCAGAGCCGUUGUAGUCUUAACCAUAAACUAUGCCGACUAGGGAUCGGGCGGUGUUAUUUCUUGACCCGCUCGGCACCUUACNCGAAAGUAAAGUUAUAGGGUUCUGGGGGGAGCAUUGUCGCAAGGCUGAAACUUAGAGAAAUUGACGGAAGGUCACCCCAAGGGGUGGGCCGGGCGCCCUCAUUGUGCUCACCACGGGGAAACUCCCCAGGUCCAGACCCAACUAGGAAUGACAGACCCAGAGCUCAAAAUCGAUUUUGUGGGNUAAGGUGCAUAGCGUUCAAGAAAUAACACCGAUUGAUCCGUUGAAGGGAUAUAACGAGCGAGACCUUAACCUGGUAAAUAACCGUUUCCGAUCCCCUGACNUUCGUUCUUGAUAAAUGAAAACACCCCUCAAGCCGCUUUACCUGGAGGCAUCUUCAAU
rnacentral:rRNA from 1 species